rnacentral:rRNA from 1 species
CCGGCAGCUCUAGUGGUAGCAAUUUUUGUUGGGCCUAAAGCGUCCGUAGCCGGUUUAAUAAGUCUCUGGUGAAAUCCUGUAGCUUAACUGUGGGAAUUGCUGGAGAUACUAUUAGACUUGAGACCGGGAGAGGUUAGAGGUACUCCCAGGGUAGAGGUGAAAUUCUGUAAUCCUGGGAGGACCGCCUGUUGCGAAGGCGUCUAACUGGAACGGUUCUGACGGUGAGGGACGAAAGUUAGGGGCGCGAACCGAAUUAGAUACCCUGGUAGUCCCUGAGCGGGCUGGCAA